rnacentral:rRNA from 1 species
GACGAACGCUGGCGGCGUGCCUAAUACAUGCAAGUAGAACGCUGAAGGAGGAGCUUGCUUCUCUGGAUGAGUUGCGAACGGGUGAGUAACGCGUAGGUAACCUGCCUGGUAGCGGGGGAUAACUAUUGGAAACGAUAGCUAAUACCGCAUAAGAGUAGAUGUUGCAUGACAUUUGCUUAAAAGGUGCAAUUGCAUCACUACCAGAUGGACCUGCGUUGAUUUAGCUAGUUGGUGGGGUAACGGCUUACCAAGGCGACGAUACAUAGCCGACCUGAGAGGGUGAGCAGCCACACUGGGACUGGGACACGGCCCAGACUCCUACGGGAAGCAGCAGUAGGGAAUCUUCGGCAAUGGACGGAAGUCUGACCGAACAACGCCGCGUGAGGGAAGAAGGUUGUCGGAUCGUAAAGCUCUGUUGUAAGAGAAGAACGAGUGUGAGAGUGGAAAGUUCACACUGUGACGGUAUCUUACCAGAAAGCGACGGCUAACUACGUG